rnacentral:tRNA from 1 species
GGUCUAGUGGCCUAAAGGUUAAGGCGCUGCUUUCCGGAGGCAGAGAUUGCGGGUUCGAGUCCCGCCUGGAUCU